GAUGAACGCUGGCGGCGUGCCUAAUACAUGCAAGUCGAGCGAACGGACGAGAAGCUUGCUUCUCUGAUGUUAGCGGCGGACGGGUUAGUAACACGUUGAUAACCUACCUAUAAGACUGGGAUAACUUCGGGAAACCGGAGCUAAUACCGGAUAAUAUUUUGAACCGCAUGGUUCAAAAGUGAAAGACGGUCUUGCUGUCACUUAUAGAUGGAUCCGCGCUGCAUUAGCUAGUUGGUAAGGUAACGGCUUAUCAAGGCAACGAUGCAUAGCCGACCUGAGAGGGUGAUCGGCCACACUGGAACUGAGACACGGUCCAGACUCCUACGGGAGGCAGCAGUAGGGAAUCUUCAGCAAUGGGCGAAAGCCUGAAGGAGCAACGCCGCGUGAGUGAUGAAGGUCUUCGGAUCGUAAAACUCUGUUAUUAGGGAAGAACAUAUGUGUAAGUAACUGUGCACAUCUUGACGGUACCUAAUCAGAAAGCCAAGGAUAACUACGUG
rnacentral:rRNA from 1 species